GUUAUUUUUCAAAGAUAAAGGCCAAUCAUGGCUGGUUCCAGCUUAUUUUCUCUGUUUUCAUUAUAAACUGAAUAGGCUCUAUGUGGGUAUAUCUGCACAUGGAAUGAUGUUUUUAUUGCCUUUAUCUUGAAAUCACAUGUUAAAGGAACAGUUCACUCAAGAAUGAAAUUUCAGUCAUUAUCUACUCUAUGCUGAUGGAAAGUCAAACGAGAAGUCUGAAAGUCCACAAAACAUUUCUGGAGCUUCCCAGCAAAACAGUGUGGCGGCAUUCUGCGGCACAACUGAAGUAGAUUGGGACUUUUUUUUUUUUUUAACACAAAUUGUCAACUGUUUUGUUGUAAGGCUCCAGAAAUGUUAACUGGCUUUAAUGAAACUUUGCUUGACUUUUCCAUCAGCAUGGUGGAAUGACUGAAUGUUCAUUUUUGGGUGAACUUUUCCUUUAAGAAUCUGUCAAAUAUAGAGCUACAGCUUGAUUUUUUAAUGCAAUAAAUAAAUAAAUCUGUCAAUUUUUUUCAUUAUUCUCUCCAAAAAUCAAAGUGCUCAGCAGCAGGACUGUCACAAGAGCACUUGAAGGCAGCAGCAGCAGCCUCCCUCUGGCCUGCCUGUCUGCCUGUCUGUCUGUCUGCCUGCCUGCCUGUCUGCCUGCCUGUCUGUCUGUCUGUCUGCCUGCCUGUCUGCCUGCCUGCCUGUAGGUUGCGCUCAGUGAACUGAUCCCGCCAGCAGAGCGCGUCCCUGCGCCUCGGACGGAAAAUGGGGAAGCCUCCUACCGGAGCACAAACCCACUCCCCGUUUUUUCUCCGAGAAACUGUGAAAAGGAAAAGCCCCGUUGUUUUUUUCUAACACUGUCAGAAAGCCCAUGCACUGCGAGCCUUCUCCAGCAGCUCCGCCGCUCACAGGACUCUCCCAGGAUGCUGUCGAACAAGCCUCACGUCGGGCACAAAGUGGCAGGCUGUUGGAUUGUCCUCUCCCUCUUUCAUAUCAACUUUUCUGCUGGCAGCUCAGGAAAAGGCUCACAGAGCCAAGAUGAUAUGCACGUCAUCCACAACAAUCAACUGGGUAAGUCUUAUUUUUGUAAUUGCAGUGGAGGCGAAGAGUGAGAAAGUCAGACAAUCAAAAGGAGCGAAAAUGAGAAAAUAAAUUAGAUUGCGCUUUAGAUUACAGCCCGCCAAUGUCUUCGUAAAAUAUUCUGUGCUGUACAUAUGGGGUGCGGAUGAAACACAAGAAAUGUGGAGGAUACACAUUUAAUGAAAAAAAAUGAGUCAUGAUAUGAUGAGUUGUGCUCAAGUUUUUAAAGUUUUUUGAGUGUUUUCUUUUAGACUAGUCGACUAAUCUCAGCACGAGCUUGCGUUUAAACAUGAGGGAAACGUCACUUACAGUUACUAAGUAGUAGUAAAUAAUCUUAAUGUAAGGUUUUUUAUUGGAUUGGGAGGCUACUGUUAGGAUUGGGAGUUUUAACUGGUGCUCCACAGUGUUCUGUUUUGGGUCCAGGUCUUUUCACUGCCUAUCUACAGCACAGUCAUGCCAGUCUUAUGUGUUUUUAAAUCUCUACAAUCUCGC
rnacentral:lncRNA from 1 species